UACGUAGGGUGCAAGCGUUGUCCGGAAUUAUUGGGCGUAAAGAGCUCGUAGGCGGUUCGUCACGUCGGGAGUGAAAACUCGGGGCUUAACCCCGAGCCUGCUUCCGAUACGGGCAGACUAGAGGUAGGCAGGGGAGAGCGGAACUCCUGGUGUAGCGGUGGAAUGCGUAGAUAUCAGGAGGAACACCGAUGGCGAAGGCAGGUCUCUGGGCAUUAACUGACGCUGAGGAGCGAAAGCAUGGGGAGCGAACAGG
rnacentral:rRNA from 1 species